rnacentral:lncRNA from 1 species
CCUGUUAUCAGCUUAAUGCAUCAGGGACUGUGAGCAUCCAGGAGUUCAGGAGCCUGUGGAAGCAGCUGAUGCUGUACCAGGAAGUUUUCCACAAGCAAGACAGUAGCAGGUCAGGACUCCUGGACUGGGUGCAGCUGCAGGCUGCCGUGAUGGAGGCAGGAAUCGUGCUUGGGGACGACGUCUGCCAGCUGAUGCUCCUCCGCUAUGGUGGCCCCAGACUUCAGAUUGAUUUUGUCAGCUUUGUCCUCUUGAUGCUGCGUGCAGUGAACAUGGAGAGUAAGUGAGUGGGGGACCAGGGGCUUUCU